rnacentral:rRNA from 1 species
AGUGAACGCUGGCGGUAGGCCUAGCACAUGCAAGUCGAACGGCAGCACAGAGGAGCUUGCUCCUUGGGUGGCGAGUGGCGGACGGUUGAGGAAUACAUCGGAAUCUACUCUGUCGUGGGGGAUAACGUAGGGAAACUUACGCUAAUACCGCAUACGACCUACGGGUGAAAGCAGGGGACCUUCGGGCCUUGCGCGAUUGAAUGAGCCGAUGUCGGAUUAGCUAGUUGGCGGGGUAAAGGCCCACCAAGGCGACGAUCCGUAGCUGGUCUGAGAGGAUGAUCAGCCACACUGGAACUGAGACACGGUCCAGACUCCUACGGGAGGCAGCAGUGGGGAAUAUUGGACAAUGGGCGCAAGCCUGAUCCAGCCAUACCGCGUGGGUGAAGAAGGCCUUCGGGUUGUAAAGCCCUUUUGUUGGGAAAGAAAUCCAGCUGGCUAAUACCCGGUUGGGAUGACGGUACCCAAAGAAUAAGCACCGGCUAACUUCGUGCCAGCCGCCGCAGUAA